rnacentral:snoRNA from 1 species
ACAACAUGAUGGGGACACUUACGAAUGAGGUCUUUAAGUCUUUCCUAGGUCUCAUGAAAUUGCUCAGCAUCAAAUUGUGAGAAACUAGUGAUAAUGCGCCUGAUUUC